GUGAGGAGCCCCUCCGCCCGGCAGCUGCCCUGUCUGGCCAUAGACUCUCCAACUCCUGCAACUGUCUGGAAUUUCUUCUCUCUCCAAUCCAUCUCUAGUAUUGAUGACAUAGAUGGAGAAGCAGAACAGAAGUUGCCCAAGAUCUUACAGUAAGUUUUAGAGCUUCUUAAAGUCUAAAUACAAUAGAAUCUAUUUUAAAAAAAUAAUUAUGCUUAAGUAUACUAUAUUUUAAUGGUUAUUUUCCUCAACUAUACAUUUUUCAGAACUAGUCUGUGAGUUAAUACAAUUUUCUGAAAAUUUUUAGUACAUAAACACUACCACAUAGCACCAUCAAAUCAAAAUGCCUUUUUUUUUUUUGAGACAGAAUCUAGUUAUGUCUCCCAAGCUGGAGUGCAGUGGCACGA
rnacentral:lncRNA from 1 species